rnacentral:misc_RNA from 1 species
AAGUCGUAACAAGGUCUCCGUAGGUGAACCUGCGGAGGGAUCAUUACCGAGUUCGUGCCCCGCAGCGGGGUAGAUCUCCCACCCUUGUGUAUCUUCGUACCGUUCUGUUGCUUUGGCAGGCCGCUCAGGCUGCGGCUCGACCACCGGCUCCCCCUAGGGGGGCGGGUGUGCGCCUGCCAGAGGACCCCCCCCAACUCUUGUUUGUCAGUGUCGUCUGAGUACUACAACCAAUCGUUAAAACUUUCAACAACGGAUCUCUUGGUUCUG